UAUUCCUGCACUAAUCGAAGAGAAAAGAUUGAUUCGGCAAGUGGGUGAAGUAAACAAGAUUAAAGCCUGGGGGAAUAUUUGACGAAGUCAAGGACAAGCUGUUUUCCAGGGCAGGCUCACUGACCCCAGCUGGGGAAAUCUUGGCCAUCUCUGGAUCCUGUUUCUUCGCCCUAAGGGAUCUUUCCUCUGAUUCUUUCUUGUUUUCCAACCAAAUGAGGCAUGCUAGGGCCAUUUGCUGACCCUAUGUCUCUCUGUCUCUAUCUCUUUGUCUGUCUGUCUCUGUGGGUGUCUCUGGCUCCCCCAGCCCCAGCUCCACCGCCCAUGAACUGGAACGGAGUACACCCAAGGACACGCAUCUGUGACCCUGUUUCAUUCCUACGUUCUUGAUAAUUUAUUAGCUGGUAAACUUCAGCCAGAAAACCAACUCAGAAGUUCUGGCUUCCCUCUGCAUGGAUCUGAGCCCUUCCUGAGAGGGAGCCCUGGCCAAGGAGAUGAUCCAACUCCUGGUACAAGCGUCUGGGAAGAAGAAAGUGGGCAGCCCUGGCUGAAGGAGCAGGCAGAGCAGCAGGACUCCAGAGAGCCUGGAAGGCAGGCUGUGUGGGGGAGGAGACUACCUGGCCACCGACUCUGCCUUCCACUCAGACACCUGAAAUUUAACCUUGGAGAACCUCUUCCAAGCCUCCUCUGCAGCCUGUGAGGCCUUUCAGGAUCAUCACCACGGAAAACCCGGAGCAGAACCAGUGGGAGCUGGAGAAAUGGCUGAAGAAGAGCCAGGGGCCUGUGGCUGGUUCCCAGCUGUGCAAUAUGAGUGAGACCUGGCAGGAGACAGGUACCUGCAAGCUGUCCCUGCUCCACCAGAGCCCCCAGCCCGCCUCACCCUCCGUCUCCCUUCCCCCCUGAUCUGCUUGCCUCUCAUCAGCCAGGGCCCCUCCCUCCAGGGCCGACUCACCUAGAGCUGCCUGGGGUUGCCCUGCCUGCUCCCCACUUCUUUCUUCCCAUCCAGACUAUAGCACCAGUUUUGGUCUCAUCUCCUCCUGGAAGCCUCCCCACCCACAAUGAGCUCAUAGUUCAGCUUCUACUGGAAUCUACUGUUGGGAUGUGCGAGAGACGUCAUGGAAAGACACGGGCUGCUCAGAGUCCCCCCACGCUAUCCCCUCAGCACUGUUGCCCAGCUCCACAGAGAAAUAGCAUUGACCCCCCACAGGCAUGGUCCCCAUCUGGGUCCAUAGAGAGUAAAUGCAUCCACUGGAGCCCUGAGGGGAGAGCAAUUCCCAUCCAAUUGCACAGCUGGAGAAAUCAAGGCCCUGGCCCUGAGAGUGGCCUCUAGCCCACCUCAGAGGAGCACAGAGGCAGGAGUCCCCACCUGGCUGAAGCCAUCAAAGAUGAGAGCAGCGCAAGAGUCCUGCCCUGGCCUCGGGCAUGGGUGCAGGAGCAGGUGGCAAGAGGAGGCCUGGCCCAGAAGGAUGGUCACACAGUUGCUGAAGUAUGACAUGAUCAGUCGCACCCACUCAGGUCAGCCUAGGUAUCUCCACCUGGCUGCAAGUGACACUGUUUGGCCUGGGAGCACCUGUCCUGACAUAGACAUAACAUGUACCAGCAGAGCCUUCAGCCUGCUGAAGCCGGGUGGGCACCUGGUCACCAUGGCCACACUGCAUUCGCAGCACUAUAUGGGCUCCAGAAAGUUCUUUGAGAGGGAGACAGUGAGAAGGCCAGGCAGGAGGCCAACCACCAGGCGCUGAGGUUCAACCACCAGCCGCUCCGCUACUCUGAGGCCUGCUCCAUUAACGAGGACAUCUUCUUUGCUGUCACCUUGCAAAGUCCCCAGGGUCUGAGGCCAGCCUGGCAGAGCUGCCCCCUAGUGGUCACAGCCAGCAUUUCUGGAUCUUGCUCACAGCCCCCUAAAGCAGCUGGAGCUGCUCUACCCCUUUAUUCCUGCUACCUGGUCCCAAGGCCACAAGGGAAAAGCAGGGCCCUUCUGACACUCUUCUCAGGGACUGUCACCCACACUCCUUCCUUGUUAUCCUGUAGCAAAGAUGACGGAACUAAAGUGCUCUUGCUGAACACUGUCUUGGUCUGACUUCUCCCAGAAACAGACCUGAAACAGGAUUUGAGAGCAAAUCCAUUAGUUGAGAAGGGACCUGUGAACAUCUAGAGGGGAAUGGGAAGGAAAGCAGAGAAGGAGGGCAGCUGAGAAAGAGGGCAUCACCCAGCCCUUCCCACCGUAGGCGCCUGGAGCUUAGUCAUGCCAGGGCCUCUGGGGAUGGUGCAGAGCACAGUCUGUGGUUUCCCCACCCAGGGAGCCAGGUCGUGGGUCUACACCAACUCCUGUUGCCACGGCUGAGGGCUGCUGAUUGGGGUGUUAAUUCCCCAGCCUCUUCGGUCUGCCUGCAUUGGGCAGUGCCACCCCAGAGAGAACUAAAAGACUUGCAGAUGCUGGCCAUGGGCAAUUGAGCCAGUAUGCACAGGGCACAGGGAAGAGGCACUAAAAGUGUCUGCAACUGGCGUGAAAUGGGCCACUGGCUGGAGUUCCAGGUAGGUUGAUCCCCUGGAAAAAGGACAUGGACUUAGAUUCUCAAAGCCAAAGGCACCUGCCAGAGUAAUAUGACUUCUAGACCAAGUUCCUGCUCCCCCGGUGUGAGGAGGGGACUGGCUCCAUCAGAUGGUUCUGUGAGUCACAAAAGAGCCAGCACUGAGGCCUGGACUCCUGUCCAGGUAAUGAUGAGCUGGUGGCAAUGCAGCUUCAGGGAGUGGUCAGCUGAGGCCAGCUAUGGGGCAGGGCAGGAGUCAGGCUGCUUCAUGGAUGUGGCCAAGAACAUAGCCUCUGACCUCUGGGAGGGCCUAGGGUCACAUCUCUAGGACCAUCACAAGGUCGUUAAGUCUCUGCACAACAUUCUUACUCAAACAGCCAAAUCUGCUCCAGACAGCUCUCGGCAUGGGCUCACCUCUUCUCUCUGAGAUGUGGGCAGUGUGUCUGCAUUUCUCCACCUGUUAUGGUUGAGACGUGGUGUCUCCCAAAAGCUCACGUGUGAGAUAAGGCAAGAAGGUUUGAGGAGAAAUGAUUGGGUUAUAGCCUUAACCUAAUCAGGAACUGAUCCCCUGACAGGGAUUAACUGAGUGGUGCCUGAAGUGCUAGGGUGUGGCUGGAGGGGGCGUGGCUUUGGGUAUAUAUUUCUAUCUGACAAGUGGAGUCUCUCUGCUUUCUGAUCACCAUGUGAGCUGCUUCCCUCCGCCACAGUCUUCUGCCAUGAUGUUCUGCCUCACCUUGAGCCCCAAGAAACAGAGCCGACCUUCUAUGGACUAAGACCUCCGAAAUCAUGAGCCCUCAAAUAAACUUUUCCUCCCUUACAA